ACAAAAUGGGUAUAAGUGUUGUCU
rnacentral:siRNA from 1 species